rnacentral:rRNA from 1 species
UGGGGAAUAUUGGACAAUGGGGGGAACCCUGAUCCAGCCAUGCCGCGUGUGUGAAGAAGGCCUUAUGGUUGUAAAGCACUUUAAGCGAGGAGGAGGGUACUGGUAUUAAUACUACCAGGUACUGGACGUUACUCGCAGAAUAAGCACCGGCUAACUCUGUGCCAGCAGCCGCGGUAAUACAGAGGGUGCGAGCGUUAAUCGGAUUUACUGGGCGUAAAGCGUGCGUAGGCGGCUAAUUGAGUCGGAUGUGAAAUCCCCGAGCUUAACUUUGGAAUUGCAUUGGAUACUGGUUAGCUAGAGUGUGGGAGAGGAUGGUAGAAUUCCAGGUGUAGCGGUGAAAUGCGUAGAGAUCUGGAGGAAUACCGAUGGCGAAGGCAGCCAUCUGGCCUAACACUGACGCUGAGGUACGAAAGCAUGGGGAGCAAACAGG